UACGUAGGGCGCGAGCGUUGUCCGGAUUUAUUGGGCGUAAAGAGCUCGUAGGCGGUUUGUCGCGUCUGCUGUGAAAACCCGAGGCUCAACCUCGGGCCUGCAGUGGGUACGGGCAGACUAGAGUGCGGUAGGGGAGAUUGGAAUUCCUGGUGUAGCGGUGGAAUGCGCAGAUAUCAGGAGGAACACCAAUGGCGAAGGCAGAUCUCUGGGCCGUAACUGACGCUGAGGAGCGAAAGCAUGGGGAGCGAACAGG
rnacentral:rRNA from 1 species